UCCGGUGGUAUGGGAUGGGCCCGCGUCUGAUUAGGCAGUUGGCGGGGUAAGAGCCCACCAAACCGACGAUCAGUAGCCGACCUGAGAGGGCGACCGGCCACAUUGGGACUGAGACACGGCCCAAACUCCUACGGGAGGCAGCAGUGGGGAAUAUUGCACAAUGGGGGAAACCCUGAUGCAGCAACGCCGCGUGAAGGAUGAAGGUCUUCGGAUUGUAAACUUUUGUCCUAUGGGAAGAAGAAAGUGACGGUACCAUAGGAGGAAGCUCCGGCUAACUACGUGCCAGCAGCCGCGGUAAUACGUAGGGGGCAAGCGUUAUCCGGAUUUACUGGGUGUAAAGGGAGCGUAGACGGCGCGGCAAGUCUGAAGUGAAAGCCCGGGGCUUAACCCCGGGACUGCUUUGGAAACUGCCAUGCUGGAGUGCUGGAGAGGUAAGUGGAAUUCCUAGUGUAGCGGUGAAAUGCGUAGAUAUUAGGAGGAACACCAGUGGCGAAGGCGGCUUACUGGACAGUAACUGACGUUGAGGCUCGAAGGCGUGGGGAGCAAACAGGAUUAGAUACCCUGGUAGUCCACGCUGUAAACGAUGGAUACUAGGUGUGGGGGGACUGACCCCUUCCGUGCCGGAGU
rnacentral:rRNA from 1 species